rnacentral:rRNA from 1 species
AACGAACGCUGGCGGCAUGCCUAACACAUGCAAGUCGAACGAGACCUUCGGGUCUAGUGGCGCACGGGUGCGUAACGCGUGGGAAUCUGCCCUUGGGUUCGGAAUAACAGUUGGAAACGACUGCUAAUACCGGAUGAUGACGUAAGUCCAAAGAUUUAUCGCCCAAGGAUGAGCCCGCGUAGGAUUAGCUAGUUGGUGAGGUAAAGGCUCACCAAGGCGACGAUCCUUAGCUGGUCUGAGAGGAUGAUCAGCCACACUGGGACUGAGACACGGCCCAGACUCCUACGGGAGGCAGCAGUGGGGAAUAUUGGACAAUGGGCGAAAGCCUGAUCCAGCAAUGCCGCGUGAGCGAUGAAGGCCUUAGGGUUGUAAAGCUCUUUUACCCGGGAUGAUAAUGACAGUACCGGGAGAAUAAGCUCCGGCUAACUCCG